GACGAACGCUGGCGGCGUGCUUAACACAUGCAAGUCGAACGGAGUGGCUAACGGGUGUGUAACACGUGGGUGAUCUGCCUUUCACUUCGGGAUAAGCUUGGGAAACUGGGUCUAAUACCGGAUAGUGCAAGAUGAGCUCGCGGCCUAUCAGCUUGUUGGUGGGGUAAUGGCCUACCAAGGCGUCGACGUGUAGCCGGCCUGAGAGGGUGUACGGCCACAUUGGGACUGAGAGACGGCCCAGAAUCCUACGGAAGGCAGCAGUGAGGAAUAUGGCGCAAUGGGCGGAAGUCUGAUGCAGCGACGCCGCGUGGGGGAUGAAGGCCUGCGGGUUGUAAACUCCUUUCGACAGGGACGCGGUACCUGUAUAAGAAGCACCGGCUAACUACGUGCCAGCAGCCGCGGUAAUUC
rnacentral:rRNA from 1 species